rnacentral:rRNA from 1 species
GGAGGAUCCAAGCGUUAUCCGGAAUCAUUGGGUUUAAAGGGUCCGUAGGCGGUUUAAUAAGUCAGUGGUGAAAGCCCAUCGCUCAACGGUGGAACGGCCAUUGAUACUGUUAGACUUGAAUUAUUAGGAAGUAACUAGAAUAUGUAGUGUAGCGGUGAAAUGCUUAGAGAUUACAUGGAAUACCAAUUGCGAAGGCAGGUUACUACUAAUUGAUUGACGCUGAUGGACGAAAGCGUGGGUAGCGAACAGGAUUAGAUACCCUGGUAGUCCACGCCGUAAACGAUGGAUACUAGCUGUUGGGAGCAAUUUCAGUGGCUAAGCGAAAGUGAUAAGUAUCCCACCUGGGGAGUACGUUC